AGGGAUGACGGCCUUCGGGUUGUAAACCUCUUUCAGCAGGGAAGAAGCGCAAGUGACGGUACCUGCAGAAGAAGCACCGGCUAACUACGUGC
rnacentral:rRNA from 1 species